GGUUGCCUGGGACACCCUCAGGGCAGGGCCCCGGGGUCUUAGGUUUGGCCACUGAUACUAGGGACUGGCCAGAGAGCACAGCUGUCAGCUCCAAUGCCAAGGACUGAAGUUUGGCCUCUCCCAGAGUCUGCAGACGCAGCUGACUCUCCGGGGAGCCCUCAGGGUCCCAGGCUCCGUCCUGCUCUGCCAUCCCUAGGACGAGCUCUAUCGUCUCUCCUUCCAGGAGGACAACAUCUUCAGCCCAAACAGCAGUCCAGCUCUCUGCUGUGGCCUGGGAAAGCAGUAGAAGAUGACCCAACUCCUUGGGCCCCUGUACCUGUGUGGAAGACCUGGAAGAAGCUCCUGGCUCCUGGCUUCGGAUCGGCUCAGCUCUGGCCAUUGCAGUCAUUUGAGGAGUGAACCAGCAGAAUGGAAGACCUCUCUCUCUGGCUCUACUUCUCUCUGUAACUCCUGUCUUUCAAAAUAAAUAAAAUAAUUCUUUAAAAAAAAAAAAAAGGAGUCAGAGUUGGGCCAGGCCAACCCAGGAGUCAGGAACUCAGCCCAAGUCUCCCACAUGGGGUGCAGGGACCUCAGCAUUUGAGCCAUUACCUGCUGCCUCCCGGGGUGCACAUUAACAGAAAGCCACAUUGAAAUCAGAACCAAGGGGCCGGUGCUGUGGCGCUGCGGUAAAGCCACCACCUGCCAUGCUGGCAUCCCAUAUGAGCACAGGUUGGAGUCCCGGCUGCUCCACUUCCGAUCCGGCUCCCUGCUAAUGGCCUGAGGAAAGCAAUGGAAGAUGAUGGCCCAAGUGCUUGGGCCCCUGCCACCCAUGUGGGAGACCCGGAUGAAGCUCCUGGCUUUGGCCUCGCCCAACCUCGGCCAUUGCAGCCUUGUGGGGAGUCAACCAGCAGGUGGAAGAUGUCUCUUUGUCUCUCUCUGUCUCUCCUUCUCUCUGUUAAGUCUGACUUUCAAAUAAAUAAAUAAAUAAAUCUUAAAAAGAAAUCAGAGCCAGGACUUGAACCCAGGCACUCUGCUAUUGGCUGGGUG